GUCUGGCUACUUGGUAUAUUAGGAUUCUGCCAGAGCCCAUGUAGCUACGACAUCCUUCAAAACACACCUGGCUCCUGUUAAAUAAAUGAAACCCCUCCAAUAGUCCUUCCUUUGAUGUAGAUAUAGUCAUAUUUCAACCAGGGCAGGGAGGCAGCACUCCCCAAAGUCCAUGUUGCAGCCUAGAGAACAAGCCUGUGAUACUUGCAUUGGGAAGGAAGUCUAGGCUCUCACUUUCUGGGCAUUGCCUUAAUUCCUGUAUUUUGCACUAAUGUGUUGUCUGGCCAGUUGGUGGAUGUCUUAGGCAAAAGCGGAGGGGAGGGGGGAGAACACAAAAGAAUGAACAGUGCACACUCUGGGUGGGAAGGGGAGAGGCGAAGCGUUGCCAAGUGACCAAAAGGAGAGAGAAAGCCAGCCUUUUCCGUUGUUUGCAUGCAGCAGAGCCCAGGGAGCCUGGUGCCCAAAUUCAGGUGGCGAGGAGGUCCCUGUCUGUUCUUGUGUACUGAAGACACACUGCUUGCGGUCACGGCACACCUUUGAGAAGGCUGCUGCGGAUAGGCUAGGGGGUAUGAAAUGGAAGGCCUUUUUGCACUGACAUACAGAUGAUCAAAGAACUAGCUUUCCAAAAGGAGGAAACCAGAAAACGCCACCCCUCAUUAACUGGAAAGGAGAGGAAACCUUUGCAGACCGAAAAGCAAAUAGGGCAUUAUUGCAACCAGAGUGCGAACGGUCAACUGUGUAGUAUUUUUGAAAGGCAUUUUUCAUUGGUCCGCUUGAAGGUACGUACCCAAAAUGGCUGCUCAUGUUUGCAUUUGUGUCUUGAACAUGGUUAACUGCCAAAAGGUUCCUGCUACGGACUGGAUGAGCUGCAGUUGGUCCAGGCGCUGUACAUACCUACUGCUUGUUGACCCUUGUGCAGAUGACUGAGGGAAACGCAGCCAAAUGUGUUCUCCUGGCAUGUCCCCUGAUUGCUUUCUCUCUCUCUUUCCCCCUUCCCCUUCUUCUGGGUGUUCCCCUUUUGACACCCCCGCCGGCUUCUGAUCCUUUAGCUGUUUGGGGAUGUUGCCGGGAAGGUUGUUUUAAAUAAGAAACGGACAUUGUGUCGAAAUGUUAAUAACUUUAAAUAAAUAAAUCAUUCCAGAAGCUUUAGCCCUCUAGCACGUAACUUGUGUUUACAUUCAAGAAGCACGUUGGAAGAUGAUAAAACAAAUUAGACCAAUUGCUCUUUCAUCUUCCUGCGGUGGAAAAGCUCACAAUCCACUAGGGGCCCUUUUCUAAGGAUCAAUGGGCAGGUGCGUUCUUAUCGGAAGGCCUUAUGCUCAGAAAUUGGGCACGUAUUACCCAGCAUUCCCUCACCCAUCCUGCCUCACACCUGAAACCAGGUGCAUCUCUUUCUCUAGCACUGGGCCUAAAGAAGUUUGGCCUUUCUCCUUCCCCUUGAUCGAUGAUCUCUUGCUUUUUUUAUUUUCUUCUUCCCUCUCAUAAAGGAAUAUUUAACAGGGUUCUGCAUCUUGUAUGCAAGCUCGCUUCCUAUACUGAGCUCCCCUUAGAUGUAAAGCCUUAUGAAGUGCAUAUGAUUUAAGUCAAUGUAACAAUCUGAGUAUAUUGCAUCUCGGGUGUAGUGAAGAAAUACAAAUUAUUAUCUGGCCUCUUCUGUCCUAAUCUAGCCAUCUCCUCUGUUCCCACAACUUGUAUAACUGUUCCUUCCUCUUAAUGCAUUUAGUUUGAAGCACCUUCCUCUUCCAUCUCAAUGAUGUUGAAUAGUAAGGCUUUGAUUCCACCGUUUCUGGACACUGUCCUAGUGCUUGACUUGCCUUCAUCACGACAGAAAUGUUUAGUUCCUUGUCAUGCUUAGGGGACUACGGCUAAUAGAUGCAGCGGUUUUUGCAUGUGGAUUUAAAUAACAUUGCAAUCUAGAGUGCCUGCAGAUUUUCCUUUCUGCAGUUUUGAUGGAAACCAAAGGUUCGGUCAGUCUUUGCGCAGCCAGCAGAAAGGGUAUGCUGUAUGCUUUGUACUUGCCCAUUCGUGUCCUCGUGCUGGUUUAUUUGUGUCUCGGAGCUCUUAUCCCAAGGCAGCCCACUUCCUUUCUUUAGUACCUGGGAAACCUCCUUGCAUGCAGACCCACAUUUCGGAAAUAAAAAAGGAACUUUACCCAGAAAGUGUUCUUGCUUCUGCAUUUGCUAAGGUUCUGUGCAUCUGUUUAAUGUGUUGUGCAUUAAUUGUUUAAUCCCUCCCCAUCCACCUGUUCCCCUCAGUGACUUGAUGUCAUGAGUGUGUGUUGUACAGAUUGAGAAUUUUAAAAAUUGCACUAAAUAUAGCUUUGUGCCAGUUUCUGACCUUUCCUUUGUAUAGUCUUUAUCCUCCUUUUUUCAAACCAAAAACUCUUCUGUUCCUGGAGGAUGAUACUAGUGGAUCUGUUCUUUCUUUGUCCUUAGUUUAAUAGCCUCCUCUCUUCUCACUCAGCUAAGGGGUACCAUGCUUGAUUUUGUAUGGUUGCAAAACAUCUAAUUCCUUUCAUAACUUUCUCCAUUACAAAAAGAUCUGUUUGCAAUUAAUUAAUACUUUGCUAAACUAGUAUCUCAGUCUUAGUGGCAUCCAUUUGCAAUUCCAAUAUUUGCAGGCGACUUAAAAUAUAUGUGUAAAACUUGAGAGCAACAGUGUAAUUGGACAAACUCUCAUUGUUUCCACUUGGAGGGUAGGAGCUAACACCGGGCAAAUAAUGGGUAGGGCAGAGCUUCUCUACAUAUGCAUGUUGUGGUCCUUCUAUUCAAAUGGUGGCUUUUCAAAUGGGAACAGGAAAUGAUCACUGUUUCCUGAGCUCUUUAAUUGGGAGUAACAAGAGAAGCAAAGGCCAGCUUCUUUCAUCAACAAUUCCCAGCUUAACUGGUUCAGCCUUGUUGUGAAGGACUGGAAGGAAUUUGAGAUUGUAAUGGUUGCUUCUGGGCCGUGAUGUUCCAUUCUAACGUAUUUUCUUGAUGCCGUGGGAGGCCCAGUGGACUCUUUCUGUUCUGCUGUUACCCACUGUAUUUGGUUACUUGCUCAAGGCUGGUUGUGAGGGAGAGAUUUCCGUUUUCAGAGUGCACAUGGUCCUCCUUCCUGCGUAUCUUUGGCACAAUUCCCCUGGCCAUGGUAAUUAAGCACAAACAGAAGUUUUUCCACAACAGGGUCGCUAGCAUAAGAACCUGGCAGUAACUCCGGGUCAGAGCCCAGCUGGCUAGCUUGCAGCGAAGUUGCCUUCUUGCCAUCUCUGCACACACAUUUCCUUCUCACCGGUACCAUCCGCAAGAAUUCAUUAAAUCCUUUGAGGCCUCGGGUACAACGUUGAUGCACAUAAGAAAGGAAUAUAUGCUGUGAUGAUCUGGUGGGAGUUGGUUGAUGCAGGGAUGCAGCCGUCAUCGGGGAGCAGCUUAUACGACUUUUCACUGUUCCUUAAGUUAGUAGAGCCCAGCAAAAGAUACCAUUUGGAGCUCAAGUUAUUGGGAGAGAACCGGGUUGCCUUGGAUCACACAGUCACUUGUCUUCCAGACUGGGGAAAGACUGUCCCAGGUUUUAAAAUCUGCAAAAUGUGAAGUAGAGCAUUUCCAAACCUCUUUUUUUUGCAAGGGGGGGGGGGGGGCUGUCAAAAUCAGGGUGAUCCGGAAAACAGGAUGAAUGAGUUUCUGCACUAUAUGUUGCAUGGAAAUAAUAUGUUGCACCAACGAGACACUGCUGUAGUUUAAUUGUCUUUGGACAUGUGAUCCAAUGCCCUUCAUAUUUCUGUCUUUGAUAGUCUUGCUUUGCAACUGGGAUUGGGGCUCCAUUUUGACAAUCUUGACACAGAGCUUAACAGGUAAACAAUAUCUAUUUGCCUUGGUUGCAUAAACACCUCUGAUGAACUGCAUUUGUUGCUUAGGUUUCUUGAGGUGGAGCUGUGGUCUUUUAAUUUGGGGGGGUGCGUGUGUGUGUUAUCGUUAGCGUUCCUGUUGCAUGUUGUGUUUUGAAUUGCUUGGCCAUGCUGCGUCUGCAACUGAAGCCACAAAUUGUUGAGCUGGAGUGUGUGGCGGCGAUUCUUUUGAAGACCAGCAGGAGCUGCUUUCGUUACGUUCUGUUCAUUGCUCGGAGAGCGUCCAUGCUGUUGUUUUGCUGGGUGUGUGCUUGUCUUAUAGCAAUACUCGUUGGCUCUGAUCCUGCGGGCACUUCAAAAACUACCUGUGCUUCAAAACAAAUUUCUUCCUUGGGAGCAGCAAUAAAGGGGUGGGAUAGGGUUGGGUGAGGGAAAUCAGUUACUGUGUUGAGGGUUUGUAGCCUGUUGUAUAGCUUGCACUCUUGAAUGUGUUUAGUGGGGGGGGGGCUUAGCUGUAAACGGAAGGAUUUUGAAGGAUGGUGGUCAGACCAACAUGAGCACUAAUUUCACUCCCAGUCAGGGUUUCGUUCUUGGAAGCCCUGGUUAUUCACUUAUUCUUUGCAUCUUUGACCUUGUUCAUUCUUCCAGUCGUGUUCCCCCUCAUAACAGUUGCAUCCACCCCCAAAAAAGAUUACUUUGCACUUGGACACACAGAUGGUGUGUGUCACUCAAGGGGCACUCUAAUUGUGUGUUUGUAUUUGUGUGGGGUAGGUACAGCCAGUACGUUGUGGUGGUCUUCGUAGUAAUGGGUGACUUAAAUGGAGUAUGUUUGCAUGAGCCUCUUAAUUGUGCUUCUGGUCCUUACUCCACCUUUUCUCCCCAGUGGCAAGGCGUGCAUCUGAGCGGGGGAGAGGGUUAAGGGUAUAGAACACUGUUACCCUUUGGCUGCAGCAUCCAAGGGCCCAUAACGUCCCAAAGGGAAAUUCUGUAUAAUCCCUACAGUGGAGGGAAGGCAGUACAGUAUUCUUUCUGCUUGACCUGUAACUGCUGCUUGUCAGAGGAAGCCUUUUGUGAAGUGGGAUGAAUUUUCUAAUGCUUAUCGUUCCUGUCAAAUCCUAAAGGUGUUCAGAGAAAAAAAUAUAUUUCAGUUCAGCAUUCUGUUAGGUUAAUCUAUGUAUUUGGGGUGAGGUUUUAAUUCUCUAUCAGCACCCUCCACAGCCUUUUCUUUAACCGCAUUCAGGGCCAGUUACUUUUCCCUUUAUUUAAAAGACUUGAGCAUUGCUUUUGCUGCUGUGCCUGUUCUUCAGGGAGCUUGCCGUGGGGGAGAAAGGUACCACUUCAGAAGUCUUCUGCCAGGCUUCCUUUCAGUUUCAGUUUCCUUUAUCGUAUUCAGCUGACAUCUGAACACACCCUGGCGUCCCAAGCUUGCAAAGGCCACUUGGCUGAGCACUACAGUAAAACUGAUAUUGGGCUGUGAUAUUCCACAUUUUCCCUCUUGCUUCCUUUCCGUGCCCCCCCUCCCCGUUAAAGUGCUCCCCAUUCUGGGCCACAGGCAUAGGGAUUUUGAGAUACAAGGGGACCAGCAAUUUAGCAGAACCUGUGUGAAAGAGUGGGCUUGGGGAAGAGGCAUGGAACUUGCCAGUUCUCCUCCUUACGUUGUCUGCCCUAGGUGUGAGCACUUUACUCUGUGUGCACGAGUGUUCAGUAAAAUGAGUUGCAGGUGUUCUAGGACCAGAGGCAGAUUACAGUUACCCGUUUUUUCAAUUCUGCCCCCCUCUCUCACCCACAAGCCCAGUGGUCAGUUUGCCACCACCCCGGAGAUACGGCGCUUAGAAGGGAGCAAUCCCUGUGGCAAGUGCAAUGCCUGCACUGCCUCUCUGAAGAAUCCCAGGUAGUAGAACGCUGUACUCUCCCUCCCUCUCUAUUGUGUUAGAGCAAUGCUGGCCAGCUGACCUUGCUGUGACUCUACCACCUCAAACAGCUGCCCAGACUCGCCUUUAGUUCUUUGAUUUUAUUUUGCCGGGCCAGUGGCCAAACGUGUAUUUAUAUUUAGGGUUGCCCCACCAAGCGCAGAGGAGCUCUGCAAUAACUAGCAUAUUUAGGAUGCCUUGCUUAGGAAGGGGCAUGUCUUGAUGUGAGAUUCUGUCACCUUUUCAGACAUUAAUUUAGAGGGGACGAGGGGGAGAGCAGGUGGUCUUACCUACCUCUUGCAAUAAUAAUAAGAAUAAUAACAAACAAAGGAGCAGGCUUGGGCACUGUAAAAGCCUUCCUUGCUCUUCAUCUUAAAACACUAAGGGCAGACAUGGGAGUCCAUGCAAGGAAAAAGAAAGCUAUAUAGGGCAAGAGAGUUGCACUGGAAAUACAUUCCUUGCUCUGUAUUGGGUCUGUUUCCUCCUCCUAUGAUAACUUCAGCAAGCGUAAAUUUGGGUGGGGGAUAGAAGAAGCUAGGUCAUAAAUCAACAUCUCACACUUAAAAGAUCUCCUUUGUUUCCUGUUCAAUAGUUUGGGGUCGGGUUGGGAAGAAGAGUACUUGUGAUUUCUCCUUCAGAGCACUAAACCUACAACCCUGCUGAUCAAAACCAGCAUGCAGCCAUGUUUACCUCCUUUGAGGCAGGGGCCUUAAUUGGGAGUUAUUUGGCUAAGGAGGACUCUUUUUAAAAAAUAAAAAGGUAUGCCUUUGUUUAUAUUUAGGCAAGCUUGAAAGGGUGGACGGGGAGCGUUGCUUUUUGCAGAAUGGCCGCGGGGAGUGCAACUGGAAGUGCUGCAUACAAAACACUCCCCCACUCCAAACACACACCCCCAAAACAAACACCCCCCCAACCUGUUGGCCUAUUGAUCCACAGUUGUUGGCAGGGAGGCUUAACUUUGCACCAUGGUCUUGUUAGCGGUGGAAAACUUGGACCAAUGUUUAGAAGAGACUAAAAAGGGGUGUGGGGUAGAAAAGACACGUUCAGAUCAGCUCACAGGCCUACCUUCCUGCUUGCAGGUUACACGAUCUUCCUUCAAACUGGUUUAAAGCACAAAGAGAUAAACUCGAAACAAAACGCUCACGCGGCAGGUGUCUUGUGGGGUGGGAGCUUCCAAGGCAAAUACCACACACACACGCAAACACACAAAAACCAGUGGCCAGUUCCAGCCUCCAUGCAGCAGAGGGUCCGUCCCCCCCAUGUGUUCCAAUGUGCAAUCAAAGUGUGAAUCUUUUUCUACAUCCCACCUUAGAUAUAGCCUAGAGGCUGCAGCUGCUUCUGUUUGGCUGCUCACCUUUCCACCUUCCUCACUGGUUUCGUUACCUCCACUCGCCCCCCCCCCCCGUUACUCCUCAGUUAGGGGGGGUUUCUUGACAAAAUGAAGCACUUGCCUGUGUGUCAAAAAAAAAGAAAGGAUAAACCUACGUUCGGUUCCUAGAAGGAAAUGCAGACUUGUCAGACCCGCCACCGACAAUUUUCUCCCGCCUGGUUGUUCCAUGAAGUAAAUAAAUUAUAUUCGAACUUCUAUAUAAAUAUAUAUUGGAGACCAAUAAAGAAAACAGAGAGCUACCGCAAGCCAUCCACCCCACCCCCCUUGUCCAGACACACCCCUUGCUCAGUGUGAAAGCCACCUUUGUAUAAGCCCCCCUGAUGUGAACCCAAGUGACUGGUUACCUUUUUUUUUGUCUCUGAUGUUACAAUAUGCAUUUUCAGAAUUUCUGCAUCACCUUUUUGGGGUUAGGGCAAGGGAGGGAGGGGGUCAACCAGGAAUUAAGUAAAUUAAAAUAAAUAAAAAAACAAAAGCGUUCAGACUUGAUCUAUUUUCUACAAUGUAUGCUGCGACCAGGUCCUGUUAUUCAUAUUGUGGCUUUGAAUCAAUUAUGUUUAUUAAAAUGCUGUUGCUUCU